AUUGAACGCUGGCGGCAGGCUUAACACAUGCAAGUCGAGCGGGGUGAUGGUGCUUGCACUAUCACUUAGCGGCGGACGGGUGAGUAAUGCUUAGGAAUCUGCCUAUUAGUGGGGGACAACAUCUCGAAAGGGAUGCUAAUACCGCAUACGUUCUACGGGAGAAAGCAGGGGAUCACUUGUGACCUUGCGCUAAUAGAUGAGCCUAAGUCGGAUUAGCUAGUUGGUGGGGUAAAGGCCUACCAAGGCGACGAUCUGUAGCGGGUCUGAGAGGAUGAUCCGCCACACUGGGACUGAGACACGGCCCAGACUCCUACGGGAGGUAGCAGUGGGGAAUAUUGGACAAUGGGGGGAACCCUGAUCCAGCCAUGCCGCGUGUGUGAAGAAGGCCUUAUGGUUGUAAAGCACUUUAAGCGAGGAGGAGGCUUACCUAGUUAAUACCUGGGAUAAGUGGACGUUACUCGCAGAAUAAGCACCGGCUAACUCUGUGCCAGCCGCCGCCGUAA
rnacentral:rRNA from 1 species